rnacentral:rRNA from 1 species
CCUACGGGAGGCAGCAGUGGGGGAUAUUGCUCAAUGGGGGAAACCCUGAUGCAGCGACGCCGCGUGGGCGAAGAAGUACUUCGGUAUGUAAAGCCCUAUUAGCAGGGAAGAAGAAAUGACGGUACCUGAGUAAGAAGCAUAGGCUAAAUACGUGCCAGCAGUCGCGGUAAUACGUAUGGUGCAAGCGUUAUCCGGAUUUACUUGGUGUAAAGGGAGCGCAGGUGGCACGGCAAGGCUGAUGUGAAAUCCCGCGGCCCAACCGCGGGACUGCAUUGGAAACUACCGGGCUGGAGUGCCGGAGAGGUAGGCGGAAUGCCUAGUGUAGCGGUGAAAUGCGUAGAUAUUAGGAAGAACACCAGUGGCGAAGGCGGAUUACUGGACGACAACUGACGGUGAGGCGCGAAAGCGUGGGGAGCAAACAGGAUUAGAUACCCGGGUAGUC